AAUGUGGCAUCCUCGGAUGUGUUAUAGCUUUUUACCGUAUACAGUGGUUGGGACUGAGGAACUCAGCACGCCGCAAGGCCGGGUUUUUAACCACGUUCGUGCUUAGGAUGCUGGCAUAAUGGCUUUAAUCGA
rnacentral:rRNA from 1 species